rnacentral:rRNA from 1 species
GAUAAUUUAAAUUUUAUCUCAAGGACUAAAGCCAUUUGGGCUAAAACUUAAAGAUCAUGGCGGCUUGUUUUAUUCAGGGGAACUUACCUACUAAACGAUAACCCACGAGUUAACUUUCUUUACUUCAAAGCUUGUAUACCGCCGUAAAGUAUUGAAUUGAGUUUAAUACGAAAUCUUAGAGAAAAUUACAGGUUAAGGUGCAGCAAAUAGUAAAGUAUUGGCGAGUUACAAUAAAUAUUUUUUUCGGAAAUAUUUGUUUAAAAUAAUAUAGAAGAUGGACUUGAUAGUAAAUUUUAAUUAAAAUAUAAAUUGAAAUUUAAAAAAACUAGUGC